UAUUCUCUAGCUAAUUAAUUAAAAUGGCCAGCAAGUUCUCAUUUGUGUACUUUCUGGUGACCUUGCUUUUAAUUUUUCUCUGCUCUUCAAUGAUUCUUCCUCUCGUAGAUGCAGCAAAAACCAAAGAGAAAAGUGUCGGAGUUAAUGGCUAUGGGCAUAUUAGGGGGCUCAAAUCCUAAGUCGAUCCAAGCAAAUCGCACCCAGAUCAUAUAGUUCACUAGCGUUACACCAUCAAUCAGCUACGAAGAACGUAUAUAUGUAUGUAUUCGAGAGUGGCAACUCCAUUUGUGAUGAAUUUCUAAAAUAUUAAAUUUUGUUUUA